rnacentral:tRNA from 1 species
AGCAGCGUGGCGCAGUGUAAGCGUGGUGGGCCCAUAACUCAGAGGUCAAUGGAUCGAAACCACUUCCUGCUA